rnacentral:rRNA from 1 species
UACGAGGGGGGCGAGCGUUGUUCGGAAUUAUUGGGCGUAAAGGGUGCGUAGGCGGUUUGGUAAGUCUGAUGUGAAAUCUAAUGGGCUCAACUCAUAGUCUGCAUCGGAAACUGCCGGGCUUGAGUGUGGGAGAGGUGAGUGGAAUUCCUGGUGUAGCGGUGAAAUGCGUAGAUAUCAGGAGGAACACCUGUGGCGAAAGCGGCUCACUGGACCAUAACUGACGCUGAUGCACGAAAGCUAGGGGAGCAAACAGG